AGCGAGAAUGGGGCGGGGCGAAGCUGGCAGCGGCUAGGGGAGGGCGGUGGAGUAGUAGAACUACGGAGCGCCGUUAAGGACAAACUUGGCCACGUGAUUCUCCUGGGAGUUUCCUGGUGAGAACGUAGGGAAGAGGUCUAAGAAGGGAAAGUUUGAUUGGACUAAUUCGGAGAGGUUGAAGAUUUGGGAAAUUGGAAACUGGGGAAGCGAAAGAAUAUGGCUGGUGAGGAAGGGAGAAACUGGUUAGGAAUGGAUCUAGAUUUAAGGUUGCCCUAAAAGACAGCCACAGUCCCGUGGGGGGAUUUCCAGAAGCAGUUUAAGGAGUUCGACCUGAAACCAUCCAGAGUGCAGAAGAAACAAGGCUUUUCGCAUGUGGUUCUUAGAAAAGUCCCAGCUUUAACAAGAAGCUUUUUAAAAAAUUAUAAUUCCUGAGUUAAUUGAGUGAAAUCACCUAAGAAGAAAAAAGAAAAAGGCUGGCCUUGUCGGUCCCCUCCGACCGCGACCGCGAGUCGUCACUUUAUAAACCCGGCUCAUUUCCUCCGACUCUCGGGAACCUCGUGUCCGCGGCGGUGGGAGCCGGAGGAGCCGCGGUGCAGAGCCGGCCUUAGACGCUGCCCCGCUCAGAGACUUGAGGCAGUUCUAGGUUUCCUCGCUUUCAGCCUUUAGUGCUGUUUUUGCUUCCCAUGUAUUCUCAAAAGGCAAAUGAUCCUGAGUUUGGCGAUUAAGUUUUGCAUUAAAGGGAAAGGGGGAAAAAUUCUCUUGCAAACGCUGCCCACUGGUCAGGCACGAAAGGGUAGUAAAAGAGAUAGAUAAAUACUGUCAUUCUGUACCACGGAUGAACAAUUAAACUUUCCAAACAGAAACACCGUACCGGUGAUUGCAAAACCCGGAACUCUCUUCAAAGGCUUGUCUCAUUAUGUCUGCUUUAAGAACCUUUGCUUCUCUGUUGAUAGAUUGCAAAGGACUUCAUUUUCCCUGACCUCUAUUGUAUCCCUGACCUCUUUGGGGCAGUUCUGAAAACAGAUUUGUUUUCUCCAGACUUGAAACAGUGAAAUUCUAGAUGGCCAUGCACAUGAAACCUUGGACGGAAGCAGUCUGCAGGCUGGCACUGCCUCUCCCUCGAGAAACCUCCUCCUGCUGGAAGCCUGUCUUGAUUCCACCCCUACUCAGCUUGAAGAAGCCAAGAGCAGUCAUCGCCCAGUUCCCCUAACAGAAGUUAGGGUCCAUUCUUCUGGGGGAGGGAACGUGAGGAGUCAGGCAGGUUAAUACACAGCUUGGUCCCCGUGGAAAUUUAGGGUGCAAAAUGCUUGCUUUCCCCAAAAGUUAUCUUUAACAAGGUCAAAAGUACCUGCCUGCCCACUCCUUGGAAGCUUCCAAUUUUACUGUAAGAAUAGCAAGGGAGUGGGAAUUCCAUCCUCCUGAGCUCACAGUGUAUUGUGAAAACAAGUUACCUGUAUAUAAAGAUAAUUAAAAAUGAAUCUUAAUGAAAGAUGGGAUGGGAGACAGAGUAGGAGAUGGGAUAGUUUGCAGGUGGGAGGGAGGUUAUGGGGGGAAAAGCUGCUAUAAUCCAAAAGUUGUACUUUUUAAAUUUAUAUUUAUUAAAUAAAGUUUUCUAAAAAGAAAGAAAGAAAACAAAUUACCUAUCCUACCCUUCUGGAUGGCGUUUUGUUUGUUUGUUUGUUUUUUAUGAGCAAGACAGGGCAAAAAAGAUUGAAAAUAAUCGGGUUUUUGGUGGGUUUUGUCCCCACCUUGUAACUGAAUGUCAAGCUGAUAAGGUUUUUAUCUCUCUCCCCCAAAAUUGUGCUUAAAACCUCAGUACCACCAGCCGCUUUGGGUUUUGCGUUUCUUGGAGCUCCCCUCCCCUUCCCCACCCCGCCAUUCCUCUGGCUGGAGGUCUCUGACUCUAAUAAAUCUUGUUUUUAAAUCUC